UGCCCUGUGACUCGAGAGUUUAACGGCCGCGGUAUCUUGACCGUGCGAAGGUAGCGCAAUCACUUGUCCUUUAAAUGAGGACCUGUAUGAAUGGCAUAACGAGGGCUCAACUGUCUCCCCUCCCCAGUCAGUGAAAUUGAUUUCCCCGUGCAGAAGCGGGGAUGUACCCAUAAGACGAGAAGACCCUAUGGAGCUUUAGACAUCAAGCAGCCUGCAACAAGCAACCCCCACCAACGGCUACAAAUAACGCAUUACUCUGCCGAAAUGUCUUCGGUUGGGGCGACCGUGGGAUAAAGAAAACCUCCCAUGAGGACCGGGAAGACCUUCCCAAAACUGAGGGCUACCGCCCCAAGCAACAGAAAUUCUGACCUAAGUGAUCCAGCCCAUAGCUGAUCAACGGACCGAGUUACCCUAGGGAUAACAGCGCAAUCCCCUCCUAGAGCCCCCAUCGACGAGAGGGUUUACGACCUCGAUGUUGGAUCAGGACAUCCUAAUGGUGCAGCCGCUAUUAAGGGUUCGUUUGUUCAACGAUUAAAGUCCUACGUGAUCUGAGUUCAGACCGGACC
rnacentral:rRNA from 1 species